rnacentral:lncRNA from 1 species
AUCGUAAGCAGUAUUAUCCAAAGAAUUAUGUAUAUCAGUGCUUCUCAACUGGGGUUGAUUUUGAUCCCCAGACAACAUUUGGAAAUAUCUGGAGAUAUUUGGGGUAAUGAUGGUACUGACAUCGAAGAGGCAGAAGCCAAGGAUGCUGCUAAAUAUUGUGCAUUGCACAGAAUAGUCCCCACAACAAAGAAUUAUCCAAAACACAAAGUCCAUAGUGCUGAAGUUGAGAACUCUUGAUAGAUACACAUCUCUGAAUAUGCUUUAAGACAAAUACAUAACCAUCUGGAAGAAAAAAAAAAGAUUAUCCAAGUGCCAGCUAACUCUUGGAGUGCGUGUUCAGGGGCGAGGGUACUGACGCUGGGUAUCCCUUCAUAAAGCCAUUUCUCUCUCUCUCUCUUGUUUGUCGGCACUCAUGGCAUGUGGAAGUUCCUGGGCCAGGGAUAGAACAUGCACCACAGCAGUGACCUGAGCCACAGCAGUAGCAACGCUGGAUCCUUAACCCGUUGUACCACCAGGGAACUCCUAAAGCUAUUUUAAAGGAAUUUCUUCAGAAACAAUAUAUCAUCUCUGAGAGGAAAACCAUCCUUGUUUCCAAGUAGCUGUGUUUCCGUUUAAAACAGUCUGACUUUCCAGAGUUAUAAACCAAGAACCUUGAGGUAUAACCGUCUGCCUAGAGCAACGUGACCCCCACAGCACUCAUAAGGGGACCUCACUGGUCCUGGUAAACGGUGCCUCUCCACCUUUCCCUACUCUGACCUGUAAGUGUGUAGUUCACCUGCAUGAGACUCUCACAAGCAUGGCAAGGUUAAGAUUACAAUUUCCCUUCUGUCUCUAACACUCAGAAAAUUCCAGUGUCAUGCCAGUGAGUUCAUUGGCCACCCUCAGCCUUCAACAAUGCUUGGGAACGAAUUAUGUGCAAUGGGUUGCAAUUGCCCCAGAGUCCCAAGACCACCACUGCAAACUGUUCAGAGAGUUCCUCAACCAGGAGUUUCCUAACCUGGAGCCACUUAUACAUGAAGGUGUGAGGCUGAGGGACAGAGCCAGAAAACUGACUGAGAAUUAGCGCCAUGCUUUUUUGACCUUGAGCUACAGUAAUGACACACAGUGCCUGGCUGGCACUUUCGGUACAUAGUUCAGACUUCAUCCUCAGUGCAACCAUAAGAGGUUGUUAGGGAAGGAAUUGCACUCCCAUUGACCAAUGAGAAGGCUAGACCUCAAAGCGAAUUCUAUACCUUCCUAAUUUACUGACUUUCCACCCGACUCUGGGCCAGCCUAACAAACAUUCCUCCUCUGUAGGAUGCCCCCAGAGCCUUCCCAUUCCUGGAGGUGGUGCUGGGGAAUGAUCCAGAUGGAGUCACUUAAAAGCAGAGAUAUUAGUUGGUGCAGCUUAGCCGGGCCUUCCUCAGCAGGUUCACAUCCUUUGGAUGGUUUGGAUAAAUGAAAGGCUUUCUGGAAGGCUGCAUCGUCUCAGACCGAAAUACCUUCUUUUGUGCCUUGUCACUCACAACCAUCCCCUCCUUCUAAGCGAUUUUUGUUUCACUGGAUGCUAGUGUUGGGUCAGGUCUCUAGGCUUCCCGUCUCUCUCGUAACAUGCCUGGAAUUCAUGGCAGUGACAAUGUAGCUGGGAUUCACUGGAGAAGAUCCUGGACAUGUAGGGACAUGUCUGGGAAGAUUGUAUUAGGGACAUUCCUAGGCGGGGAUCUUCUACCCUACCGCGACAGAGCUAUUCAAUGCAGAUGCUCAAAAUAAAUGGCUCUUAUUCAAACGUAGCUAUUCGUGGUCUCAGUUUUGGACUUAGAAACCUGUAUCACUGCGAACCCCUUAGCUUUACAUCCAACCGCUACUGGCAUGUCGCUUUCUCCAAAGUCAAAGAGAGGACCGCUCGAUGGAACUCCUUCUCUCCAUAGACCUGCUUCCCCAAAGAUGAACUUCUCCACAGACUCUGGUGCUUAAGUAGAUGACGGGUGGGCUUGGGCUGGGGACCUGGCAUGCCAUCCGGGAGGGCAGGGGAAACUGAAAUCACACCUUGCAUCUCUGCACAAAGGUUUGAUUCUCUUUAUGAGUAUGAUCCGCCAAUCUGUAAUCAAGGGUUAAUUUCACAGCUCACUGCUUCAUCUAGCAUAAUAUCCAUUCAGACUAAUUAAAUCUGUCUAAUAAUGUGAGUGUCUUUGUCUUUGUUCUUCCCCUUCUUUGUUUUACACCCUUCACAUCUCAUCUCCAGAACCACACGCCAUCACACUCUACUUGACAAGCAGAAUCCAUCCCUAAAAUUAAAACAUUCCUGACCUAUCUGCAAUGACAAGGCAGGCGAGCUUCACAGCGCUCCGGCCCAUGAAGGGAGCUGACACAUUUGUUUUUAAUUUCAAAAGAGUAGAAAGUGAAGAUCUGACCCCGUCAAUCAAGCCCCGUGACAAGUUUAAUCAUUGGUGCCCCACAAAAAUCACGGCUAAAUAGGAAUGCAAAUACUGUAUCACAGGGCUCUUAUAAAUGCUAAUCAAGGCGAAGUAAUCAACUGACAAUUUCACUGAUCUCUUUUCUGAAGAAGUCACUCAAUGCUCGGUCUCUGGGCCACAAAGAAAAGAGAAGAAGACAAAAGGGAUGUAUGAGGUCCCCCCCAACCUUUCUUUUAUUUUCCCUUCCAGGACAUUUCUUUUUAAAGAGAGAAUUCGCUCUUUUGAUCCAUCGUUGAACUUGAAAGCAAAGAACUUACGCAGUUAUAUGUCAAGUGCACUUUAUUAUCUGUACCCGUCUGGGCAGAAAACGCACCGAAACUUCUGUUAAAAUAAAAAUCAUCAUUUGUCUUUGUCAUUAAUCUGUUCUCAAAUUCUCUUAUAUCUAAAAAGUGAUUGACCUUCUCUGUGAGAGGAGGAGCGGGGAGGAAAGUUUUAUAAGUAGUCGAAAAUCUGAAAAUUGUGAUCACGGUAACUUGGAAAAUAGAAGUAGAAAAAUCCCUUUUGGAAACUUAAUCCAGUGUUGAUGAAGAAUUUAUAACCAGCAAGACAUUCUCAGCCAAGUGUUCCUCCCCUUAGCUUGAAGGCUUGACUAGGCUUAGAGAGAGAAAGAGAACCAGAGAGAUGGGAGUCAUGUUUCGAGCUCCGUGUUCAUGGGAUCAGAAAGCUUUGUGUUUUAUGCAGUUGAGAACCUGAGGGACUUUGCUUUCCUCCUCCCUAUUUUAUUUUUUAACCAGGAGGUCCCAAAGAAAUCCAAUUCAUUGGAUGCUUUCUUCUUGCAACCACCUAUGUCACAGAAUCAUAGCAGGAAAAGGAAAAAAAGCCAGCGCUAAGUUACUCCCAAUUUGUCCCACAAUUUUAUCCAGUCCGACAGAAACAGAACAUUCCAGAAAUUCAGGUAUUGGUAAGAUUAAUUCCUGUAGUGCCAACCAAACCAAGUUCCCAAUGUCUGGGGUGGGCUCCUUCAUCUUAAGGACAGAACAGUGGGAAUGCGUGGGGUUUUUGGGAGAUGUGGGGAUCCCUCUUCAUGUUCCAUAGAAGAGGAGGAUGGCCAAACGGAGCUGCUGCCUCUUCUCCCAUGGCUCCUGAGAAUGGCUUUCCCAUUUUUAAAAUGGUUGAGAAAACAUGAAAAGAAGAAUGUCUCUUGGUUUGAAAGUGGCAUGAGAUUUAAACUGCAGUCUCCAGAAAUGAAGUUUUAUUGGAACCUGGCCGUGUCCACCAUUUACCUAUCUUCUGUGGCUGGGUUGCCUGGGACAACCAGGACACAGUGAUACUGGCAGAUUUUCCUAAAGGCACCCCCACAGGACAGCUCUGGGGCUCAAGCUCCCCCUAUACUUCUCAUAAGGAGGCAACACAAGGUGUUGGGUGUUUAAUCCGGCUGUGUGUCUUUCUGUGUGACCUUGGGUACACUACUGCCCCCCUCCUUUUAAAGCCUCUUUUUCUCAUCUGUAAAAUCCAGUCUCACUUCCAUUUGUACAUUUAUUUCAUUAUUCCUGAUCUAUAAAUGGAUCCAUUCUUCGAAUUCUCCUUUGAACUACUUGCAACAUCUUACAGGUUCCUUCUUUGAUGAGUUAAAUAAAAUCUUUAGCAUGUGUCCCUUAAAAAAAAAUAGGGCUAAGAAUGCAGCAAGGAGUUAAAUAGGUAAUGUCUUUCAUAGCCGUUGGCUCCAAGCAGAACUCAAAUUACUGCUGGUAAGUUAGGUCUUAUGACCUGGAUCUAUGCUGACACUGUGUCACGUUGCUCUUGAAGCCCUGACUGGAAACUGAAGGAGACUUAAGAUUUUGAACUAAAUGUGAGUAUAUUCAGGGGUGAUUAAAUUAAGUCCAUUUCAUGGGUCAAUAAAGAAGGGUUUGUUCUUCCCCUUCCCCCAGCGCUGCUUCCAUCCUUGGGAUCAUGAUGGGAAAGCUGAGCCUUUGAAAAUUAAUCCUAGGCAGUUGGUAAAAGAGAGGUCCCACCCAGCCAUGUGGACGUGGUGGUGGAAGUCGGUUCAUUCUAAGCCACAAGCUGCUCAGGGCUGCGGUGUUGUACACGGGUGUACGUUUGAAAUUGGAUCCUCAGGGGGUGGUCCUGAGGGUUCAACCCCUUCUUCUCGAGAAGAUGUGGAGAGGGUGCAAACUGCUGACUAUUGUUCCUUUUGUCUUAUUCCCAAUUCUUCCCUUUAAAAUGUUGGGUUUGGGAAGAAUCGUGUUGGUGCGCUCCUCAUGUGGGUGCGUCCAGGAGAAACAGCCCAAGAGGCAAGAGCAGGGACUCGGAGGAGGUCUGUUCCACUCAGUCCUCAAAAGUGCCCGCUGAAGAGCUGGGUCACCGAAUUCCCAGAGAAACGUGGGCAUCCACACACUUGCUUUUCCUGG